GCUAUCUUCACUACUUCAGACCGAAUAAUUUACCCCAUUGUCCAUGCCAGAGGGUUUCUUGAAUUGACAUGCUUUCAAAUUGGCAAGUUUUGCUGUACUUCAGGAAAAGUGAGUAAUAAAACGUGUAGUUCUUGAUCGAGGGAAACAUAUUAGUAUUUUCAUGUGUCCUGUUGCCAAGUUCUUUCAAUUGCAGGCACUCCUGUGCUUACUCACUACAGACCUUUGGCUGGCGGCGCUUUUCCACCCCUCAAUGUUUGAUGGCCAAACACGCUGGCACACUGACAGUUUAUUCUCAAGAAAAAUGAUAAUUGUGUUAGCUGUUACUUAAAAGAUAUGGCACAUUGUAGUUCCCCAAUAUACAAAUGAAGCUGUUUUCUCAAAAUGGAUAAUGUCAAAAUUUGCCAAACUGGCCCUGAACUUGACUCGAACACCAUGGAAAAAGUCAUUGGCUUCAACUGGCAAUGGCCUGGUGGUCUAUACAAUGGCGCAGCUAUAUUUUUGUGUGCCUGAGGCCAAUGAACGUGAAGCCCACGAAUCAGCAGAAAAAUAUGAA